rnacentral:rRNA from 1 species
GACGAACGCUGGCGGCGUGCCUAACACAUGCAAGUCAACUUGACUGAAGGAGCAAUCUGACAGUAGAGUGGCGCAAGGGUGCGUAACGCGUAAGUAACUUGCCCAAGGUAAGGAAUAACGUCGAGAAAUCGGCGCUAAUACCUCAUAAUGCAGCGGAUCCGCAUGGAUAUGUUGUUAAAGGUUUACCGCCUUGGGAUAGGCUUGCGUCUGAUUAGCUAGUUGGUGUGGUAACGGCACACCAAGGCUACGAUCAGUAACUGGUCUGAGAGGAUGAUCAGUCACACUGGAACUGAGACACGGUCCAGACUCCUACGGGAGGCAGCAGUGAGGAAUAUUGGGCAAUGCUCGAAAGAGUGACCCAGCAACGCCGCGUGGAGGAUGAAGGUAUUCUAUAUCGUAAACUCCUGUGAGAGCAGACGAAAGACAGAUUAUUAAUCUGGAUGACUGUAUGCUC